AGCGAACGCUGGCGGCAGGCCUAACACAUGCAAGUCGAACGAAGUCUUCGGACUUAGUGGCGGACGGGUGAGUAACACGUGGGAACGUACCUUUUGGUUCGGAACAACUCAGGGAAACUUGAGCUAAUACCGGAUGAGCCCUUAGGGGGAAAGAUUUAUCGCCGAAAGAGCGGCCCGCGUUAGAUUAGCUAGUUGGUGAGGUAAAGGCUCACCAAGGCUACGAUCUAUAGCUGGUCUGAGAGGAUGAUCAGCCACACUGGGACUGAGACACGGCCCAGACUCCUACGGAAGGCAGCAGUGGGGAAUCUUGCGCAAUGGGCGAAAGCCUGACGCAGCCAUGCCGCGUGAAUGAUGAAGGUCUUAGGAUUGUAAAAUUCUUUUACCAGGGACGAUAAUGACGGUACCUGGAGAAAAAGCCCCGGCUAACUACGUGCCAGCAGCCGCCGUAAGAC
rnacentral:rRNA from 1 species